GGGCUACUGACUACGCUCUACACCCUUUGUGACAUACCUAUAACUGUUGCUUCGGCGGGUAGGGUCUCCGUGACCCUCCCGGCCUCCCGCCCCCGGGCGGGUCGGCGCCCGCCGGAGGAUAACCAAACUCUGAUUUAACGACGUUUCUUCUGAGUGGUACAAGCAAAUAAUCAAAACUUUUAACAACGGAUCUCUUGGUUCUGGCAUCGAUGAAGAACGCAGCGAAAUGCGAUAAGUAAUGUGAAUUGCAGAAUUCAGUGAAUCAUCGAAUCUUUGAACGCACAUUGCGCCCGCCAGCAUUCUGGCGGGCAUGCCUGUUCGAGCGUCAUUUCAACCCUCAAGCUCUGCUUGGUGUUGGGGCCCUACAGCUGAUGUAGGCCCUCAAAGGUAGUGGCGGACCCUCCCGGAGCCUCCUUUGCGUAGUAACUUUACGUCUCGCACUGGGAUCCGGAGGGACUCUUGCCGUAAAACCCCCAAUUCUCCAAAGGUUGACCUCGGAUCAGGUAGGAAUACCCGCUGAACUUAAGCAUAUCAAUAGCCGGGAGGAAAC
rnacentral:sRNA from 1 species